UAACUAAGCAUGAUUAUUUUCUGAAAUAGUGUCCAGGCACAGGACACGUAUCUCCUCAACCUUUCUUCCUCUAAACGCACUUUUAUCCACUUCAAAGUCAUCUUAUACUGCAGCGUAAGUCAGAAAGGAAAAAAGAACUCACAAAAUGUCAUAGCAUUCCAUUUUACAAACUGUAAUAACUAGGCUGUUCUGUAAAAUGUCUGGUCAGGAAAAGAGCUGAAACUACUAACUAAAGUGAGGGCUGAGCUUCUUUUGAGAAUUAGAAUUCCUUGUACUUUUCCAAGUCCUAGAUGACAUAGAUAACAGAAAAUUAAUUUUAAUGCUAUGAUAUGCUUAAAUUGGCAAAGAUCAGUAGUCAUUAUGGACUGGUUUUUGUUCAUGACUUAAUUUUGCCAUUCUAAACCUUUGAGCAGGAUUUAAAAUACUUAAUACAGCACUCCCCAGGCUCUGGUGUUUACCUUACUUCAAAAAUCCAUUUUUCAUGAUUUCACUUUUCUUCCACAGAGAGAAGUUAAGUAAGAGGGCUUUGGGUCAAGAUUGUGACUGGAUUCAAAUCCUAAAGUUUUCACUACAUUGUGUGCCCGUGGAGUUGGAAGACAGAGAAGAAUCUUGAAGACUAAGGCUGCUUUUUGCUUGUAACUAGAAGCAGAAUGACUGGAACUGGCAACAGGAAGGCUGUCUUGAAACCAGGCAGAUUCUCUCUCAUUUCUCAUCUCUCCUUCAUUCUUCUGUGUUUCUUCAAUCCUGCUUCCUCUAUGUCUUAGUCGAAAAGGUAGAAUAUAGCCCUACUUUAUACGCUAUAACACUAAAUAUGCCCUAAGCAUAAGACACCGAAUCUCUUUCUCUCCAACCACAGUUCCAAACCCCUGACAGAAAGACAGUGGUUCAGCUUGUAAGCUUAAUGGAUGCUUCUUGUCUGCUGCACAGAUACAGCUGGUUCACUGAGACAGUGGUAUUGCUAUAAUGCAAGAGUUUAAUUAAUGCAGGACUAAACCACGUGCAAGAUGGGAGUUGAUUACUCAAAUCAAUCUCCCUGAAAAUUCGGAGACUAGGGUUAUUUUAAGAAUAAUUUGGCAGGC
rnacentral:lncRNA from 1 species